UGGGGAAUAUUGCACAAUGGGCGCAAGCCUGAUGCAGCCAUGCCGCGUGUGUGAAGAAGGCCUUCGGGUUGUAAAGCACUUUCAGCGAGGAGGAAGGUGGUGAGCUUAAUACGCUCAUCAAUUGACGUUACUCGCAGAAGAAGCACCGGCUAACUCCGUGCCAGCAGCCGCGGUAAUACGGAGGGUGCAAGCGUUAAUCGGAAUUACUGGGCGUAAAGCGCACGCAGGCGGUUUGUUAAGUCAGAUGUGAAAUCCCCGGGCUCAACCUGGGAACUGCAUUUGAAACUGGCAAGCUAGAGUCUCGUAGAGGGGGGCUAGAAUUCCAGGUGUAGCGGUGAAAUGCGUAGAGAUCUGGAGGAAUACCGGUGGCGAAGGCGGCCCCCUGGACGAAGACUGACGCUCAGGUGCGAAAGCGUGGGGCAGCAAACAGGAUUAGAUACCCUGGUAGUCCAGCGCUGUAAACGAUGUCGAUUUUGGAGGUUGUGCCCCUUGAGGCGUGGCUUCCGGAGCUAACGCGUUAAAGUCGACCG
rnacentral:rRNA from 1 species